AGCGUACACGGUGGAUGCCCUGGCAGUCAGAGGCGAUGAAGGACGUGCUAAUCUGCGAUAAGCGUCGGUAAGGUGAUAUGAACCGUUAUAACCGGCGAUUUCCGAAUGGGGAAACCCAGUGUGUUUCGACACACUAUCAUUAACUGAAUCCAUAGGUUAAUGAGGCGAACCGGGGGAACUGAAACAUCUAAGUACCCCGAGGAAAAGAAAUCAACCGAGAUUCCCCCAGUAGCGGCGAGCGAACGGGGAGGAGCCCAGAGCCUGAAUCAGUGUGUGUGUUAGUGGAAGCGUCUGGAAAGGCGCGCGAUACAGGGUGACAGCCCCGUACACAAAAAUGCACAUACUGUGAGCUCGAUGAGUAGGGCGGGACACGUGGUAUCCUGUCUGAAUAUGGGGGGACCAUCCUCCAAGGCUAAAUACUCCUGACUGACCGAUAGUGAACCAGUACCGUGAGGGAAAGGCGAAAAGAACCCCGGCGAGGGGAGUGAAAAAGAACCUGAAACCGUGUACGUACAAGCAGUGGGAGCCUCUUUUAUGGGGUGACUGCGUACCUUUUGUAUAAUGGGUCAGCGACUUAUAUUCUGUAGCAAGGUUAACCGAAUAGGGGAGCCGAAGGGAAACCGAGUCUUAACUGGGCGUUAAGUUGCAGGGUAUAGACCCGAAACCCGGUGAUCUAGCCAUGGGCAGGUUGAAGGUUGGGUAACACUAACUGGAGGACCGAACCGACUAAUGUUGAAAAAUUAGCGGAUGACUUGUGGCUGGGGGUGAAAGGCCAAUCAAACCGGGAGAUAGCUGGUUCUCCCCGAAAGCUAUUUAGGUAGCGCCUCGUGAAUUCAUCUCCGGGGGUAGAGCACUGUUUCGGCAAGGGGGUCAUCCCGACUUACCAACCCGAUGCAAACUGCGAAUACCGGAGAAUGUUAUCACGGGAGACACACGGCGGGUGCUAACGUCCGUCGUGAAGAGGGAAACAACCCAGACCGCCAGCUAAGGUCCCAAAGUCAUGGUUAAGUGGGAAACGAUGUGGGAAGGCCCAGACAGCCAGGAUGUUGGCUUAGAAGCAGCCAUCAUUUAAAGAAAGCGUAAUAGCUCACUGGUCGAGUCGGCCUGCGCGGAAGAUGUAACGGGGCUAAACCAUGCACCGAAGCUGCGGCAGCGACGCUGAUGCGUUGUUGGGUAGGGGAGCGUUCUGUAAGCCUGCGAAGGUGUGCUGUGAGGCAUGCUGGAGGUAUCAGAAGUGCGAAUGCUGACAUAAGUAACGAUAAAGCGGGUGAAAAGCCCGCUCGCCGGAAGACCAAGGGUUCCUGUCCAACGUUAAUCGGGGCAGGGUGAGUCGACCCCUAAGGCGAGGCCGAAAGGCGUAGUCGAUGGGAAACAGGUUAAUAUUCCUGUACUUGGUGUUACUGCGAAGGGGGGACGGAGAAGGCUAUGUUGGCCGGGCGACGGUUGUCCCGGUUUAAGCGUGUAGGCUGGUUUUCCAGGCAAAUCCGGAAAAUCAAGGCUGAGGCGUGAUGACGAGGCACUACGGUGCUGAAGCAACAAAUGCCCUGCUUCCAGGAAAAGCCUCUAAGCAUCAGGUAACAUCAAAUCGUACCCCAAACCGACACAGGUGGUCAGGUAGAGAAUACCAAGGCGCUUGAGAGAACUCGGGUGAAGGAACUAGGCAAAAUGGUGCCGUAACUUCGGGAGAAGGCACGCUGAUAUGUAGGUGAAGUCCCUCGCGGAUGGAGCUGAAAUCAGUCGAAGAUACCAGCUGGCUGCAACUGUUUAUUAAAAACACAGCACUGUGCAAACACGAAAGUGGACGUAUACGGUGUGACGCCUGCCCGGUGCCGGAAGGUUAAUUGAUGGGGUCAGCGCAAGCGAAGCUCUUGAUCGAAGCCCCGGUAAACGGCGGCCGUAACUAUAACGGUCCUAAGGUAGCGAAAUUCCUUGUCGGGUAAGUUCCGACCUGCACGAAUGGCGUAAUGAUGGCCAGGCUGUCUCCACCCGAGACUCAGUGAAAUUGAACUCGCUGUGAAGAUGCAGUGUACCCGCGGCAAGACGGAAAGACCCCGUGAACCUUUACUAUAGCUUGACACUGAACAUUGAGCCUUGAUGUGUAGGAUAGGUGGGAGGCUUUGAAGUGUGGACGCCAGUCUGCAUGGAGCCGACCUUGAAAUACCACCCUUUAAUGUUUGAUGUUCUAACGUUGACCCGUGAUCCGGGUUGCGGACAGUGUCUGGUGGGUAGUUUGACUGGGGCGGUCUCCUCCUAAAGAGUAACGGAGGAGCACGAAGGUUGGCUAAUCCUGGUCGGACAUCAGGAGGUUAGUGCAAUGGCAUAAGCCAGCUUGACUGCGAGCGUGACGGCGCGAGCAGGUGCGAAAGCAGGUCAUAGUGAUCCGGUGGUUCUGAAUGGAAGGGCCAUCGCUCAACGGAUAAAAGGUACUCCGGGGAUAACAGGCUGAUACCGCCCAAGAGUUCAUAUCGACGGCGGUGUUUGGCACCUCGAUGUCGGCUCAUCACAUCCUGGGGCUGAAGUAGGUCCCAAGGGUAUGGCUGUUCGCCAUUUAAAGUGGUACGCGAGCUGGGUUUAGAACGUCGUGAGACAGUUCGGUCCCUAUCUGCCGUGGGCGCUGGAGAACUGAGGGGGGCUGCUCCUAGUACGAGAGGACCGGAGUGGACGCAUCACUGGUGUUCGGGUUGUCAUGCCAAUGGCACUGCCCGGUAGCUAAAUGCGGAAGAGAUAAGUGCUGAAAGCAUCUAAGCACGAAACUUGCCCCGAGAUGAGUUCUCCCUGACUCCUUGA
rnacentral:rRNA from 1 species